rnacentral:lncRNA from 1 species
ACGUGGCUUCUCUCAAAUAUAAUUCUAGAAGAAUCAUCUUUUUGUCUCUUUUGUUCCAAGGAUGGAAAAACAUAGCCACUCUUUCGAUUACUCUGAACUCUGAAGUACUUUUUGCGAGUUCUCUUCAUAUUUCAGGUCAGCUUUAUUCUCAAUUUUUCCCCAAUUUCUUUAUUUUCCCCUAAUUUCUUUCAGUUCUCUUCAGACUUUUGAAUUUCCCGACUGAAAAUUAUUGUUGAUGUCAUUAUUAAUUUGUUUAAUUCUCUUUCCAAUUUCACGGCUGAUGUGAAAGUUUUUCAAUUGUCGUCCUCGCAUAACUCCAAUCUUUUCUUUUAUUAUUGCAGAUUUAUUCUUCAAAAAGAAAACAGAUUUGUGCCCUUCUCUCGGUUAGCUUCGCCGAUGUAGCGUGUAAGUUUGUCAUUUUUUUUCCUCUUUGUUUAUUUCAUUGUUCCGGUUAUAAUUUUUUUUUAUUUUUAGUGGUUAUUCGUAACAACUAUUUAGAUUGGUCAUUUAUAUGGAACAAUUUUUUUUUGUGACAGCUCAAAGUGUUGGAUAAGAUUUGUUCUCAAAAAUUCUCCAUUUGUGUUUAUUAUCUUUUUAAAUAUUUUUUAAUGAGCAAUUGCUCUUUUAAUUCUAUAUGGCUUCACUUAUGUUAAACAAAAUUGUUUCGGCAAUUCCGAAAUUGAGGAAAUUUAGUUCUUGAAGAGUGAAAAUUUCUUUUUUAUUUUAAAUUAUGAAAGUUUAUGUGGAUUGAUUUACGUAAAAGAAGAGUAUUCUGGCAGCUUUGGUGGUGGGAAGAUUCAGUUCUUUAAAAAUAAAAUGUUUAUCUAGCUUCUGCUCUUAGUUGUCCGCGUGCACAUUGGUUGCUAUGUUUGACUGUAUAUAAUUUUACUGUUGUCUUUAGCUUAGCUGUAUUUGACUACAUAUAGUAGAAUCAAGGAGUUUCUUUUCUAUAGUACUGGAUGUUGUCAAAUUCGAACUUCAUAUCCAGAUGAGAGAGAAAAGGAAUUUUUGUUUCUGGUUUGACAUUCAGAGCAUAACAUCGAAUAAACGAAUGAAGUCGCGAAUGACUUAUGCUUGGUUGCACACACUGAAUGAUUAUAAUCUUCGAUAAUAUAUGUGUAUUAACCAUGGUGUAUCCAUAAUUUUUAAGUCUGUUGUUGAAAAAAGUGAUGCAUUUUUCUCCUGCUGUUGUUUUAUUCAGAUCUAAAGAAGUCUCGAA